rnacentral:rRNA from 1 species
AGUGGCGAACGGGUGAGUAAUGCAUCGGAACGUACCGUGUAGUGGGGGAUAACGUAGCGAAAGUUACGCUAAUACCGCAUACGCCCUGAGGGGGAAAGUGGGGGACCGCAAGGCCUCACGCUAUAUGAGCGGCCGAUGUCGGAUUAGCUAGUUGGUAGGGUAAAGGCCUACCAAGGCGACGAUCCGUAGCGGGUCUGAGAGGAUGAUCCGCCACACUGGGACUGGGACACGGCCCAGACUCCUACGGGAGGCAGCAGUGGGGAAUUUUGGACAAUGGGCGCAAGCCUGAUCCAGCCAUGCCGCGUGAGUGAAGAAGGCCUUCGGGUUGUAAAGCUCUUUCAGACGGAAAGAAAUCUCUCGGGAUAACACCCUGGGAGGAUGACGGUACCGUAAGAAGAAGCACCGGCUAACUACGUGCCAGCAGCCGCGGUAAUACGUAGGGUGCGAGCGUUAAUCGGAAUUACUGGGCGUAAAGCGUGCGCAGGCGGUGAUGUAAGACAGAUGUGAAAUCCCCGGGCUCAACCUGGGAACUGCGUUUGUGACUGCAUCACUCGAGUACGGCAGAGGGGAGGUGGAAUUCCGCGUGUAGCAGUGAAAUGCGUAGAUAUGCGGAGGAACACCGAUGGCGACGGCAGUCUUCCUGGGCCAGUACUGACGCUCAUGCACGAAAGCGUGGG